rnacentral:lncRNA from 1 species
GUUGGAAGUGUAAUUUGAGACAAAUGAAGCAUUGAAAGCAUGUUUCAUUCCAGGUUGUUGACUCAGUCCUGGAUCUGUGAGUCUGUGACUGAUUCUUUUGUUUGAUUAUGGUUAGGCCAGCUUAUAACAAGCUCUGUUUGUAACUUCUUACUUUACAUGCAAAACGGGGAGACGGGGAAGGAAAUACUUUGACAUUUGCUUUAUGCCCUUAUGUACUGAAUUGACUGCAGUUGUUCGCGACAAAGGCCCUGCUUGGUUACCCCGCAAAAAUUUGCAAGAAAUUUAGCCUAAUUUAAUAUGCUUAAAACUCUUGAUAAUUAAUUUUAUGCACAAAAUUUAUGCAAAAGUUUGGUGCUAUUUUAAAAGUGCAAAAUUUUUACACCUUUCUCUAAUAAACUAGUAGGGGACCAUUUAUGAUUAUCUCAUGUUUAUGAGAGUUUUAAGUGGGGGACCAAUAAGGUUUAAGCUAAAGUAGGUGGGGGUCCAUUCAAAUCAAAGAAUAAAUUUGGGAGGGACCACUCUAACUCUAGAUGGGUAAAGAUUUGCCUUUUUUGCAGCCCAAACAAGCAGGGCCAAAGAUAAGGAGAAUUGAACAUAAUAUACAUGACUAAUAGUACACUCAUUUGAACCCUUCUGUCAAGGCAACC